CUUUUGACAUCAUAUUUUACAUCUUUUUGUUUUGUGAAUCCAUUAACUGCUUCUUGUGGAUAUAGAUGAUUUGACUACUUUUGUCUUUAACCUUCCCUACUAGCUUUGGGCGUGGACGAUUUACUACCUUUACUGUAUAUUUGCCUUUACCACUGAGAUUU